AUGUACAAGAGAGGUGAAGUCAGGGAUCGUCUACUAGUUGGCAUCUACGUCGACGAUCUGUUGAUAACUGGAGCAGAUGAAGAGGCGAUUGCAAAGUUUAAGCUACAAAUGAAGGAGCUUUUCAAGAUGGAUGAUCUAGGUUUAUUGAGUUGCAACCCCGGGAUAGAGGUACAUCAAAAGCCGGAGAGGGUCACACUAUACCAGGAGGCAUACGUAAGGAAGGUACUUGAAAGCAGUGGCAUGAAUUAUUGCAAUCCAGUUGACGCUCUAAUGGAACCUCGUCUUGAGCUGAGCAAGAAGAGCAAAGUAUUCGCAGUUGAUGCAAUAGAGUAUAUUGCAGCUACCACUGCGUUGUGCCAAAGUGUGACAGGUGGUGCUUAA
rnacentral:rRNA from 1 species